rnacentral:rRNA from 1 species
UACGAGGGGGGCAAGCGUUGUUCGGAAUUAUUGGGCGUCAAGGGUGCGUAGGCUGUGCGGUAAGUCACCUGUGAAAUCUCCGAGCUCAACUCGGAGCCUGCAGGCGAAACUGCCGUGCUGGAGUAUGGGAGAGGUGCGUGGAAUUCCCGGUGUAGCGGUGAAAUGCGCAGACAUCGGGAGGAACAACUGGGGCGAAAGCGGCGCACUGGACCAUUACUGACGCUGAUGCACGAAAGCUAGGGGAGCAAACAGG